GCUUUGGUAGUACAAAAACUAGAAUUCCACAACACACAAUACAGGGAUGAUCAGUAUGGCCCCGGUUCAAGGAUGACAGGCACAUUGAGGAAGGAUUCCAUAUUUUU